UCGCCGGGGACGCUCGAGCUCGGACCUGCAACAUGGUGGAGUGAGAACUACGAAUAGUUCCCAGUGGGUUCGGCCGCCGACUCCGCCGAUCUCCCCACUAGGUCAUAAGCAGGCACAGAUAGAUAUGCAGAUAGAUAGAUAUAUAUAUAUAUAACUGAAAGCAGUAACGGUAAUGAACAACUAUAAUCUAUCAAUGCCUCAAUCUAGUGAAAUGCAUGCAUGGAACCCAUAGUAAGAAGGCUGGCUAUCAUACUACCAUGUUCAACGACAAGGUCAUUCAACUGAUUACCCAAUCUCUCGGCGAACACGAAGCUCGCUCACAAUCUCACAUGUAUCAAUCUCUUAGGGAGGUGGCUAGCUUUUCACCAUCCCCGAGACCGCCUGCGGACACUACACUGGUCCAAGGGCAUCUACACUGGCCCCCUCGCGUGCUAGACUCCGGAGUGCACUACCUGUGAGGAGCUACCUCCACAGAUGCAGACAGGCUAAGUGAGCUCAAUCAAAUCUCAUGUACUGGGAACACCCUAAACACUAACACUGGUGUCACACUCCAUUGGUGUUCAUCUAUUCAAUCUCCUAGUGUUUCCGACUACACUAAGAUUUGCAAGUUCAAGGUCAUUUAGGUGCCACUCGUUCUGGUUCAUUGUUAACUAGAUGCCACUCGUUCUGGUUCUUUAUUCAUAUAAUCAUCAGAUAUAGGGUUAACUGUCUCUCAAUGCUCAACUCAUGCAUACUAGGUUCAUAAUCAUGUAAUCAUAGAUUCACACUAUCACUAGCAUGCAAGGAUAGGUACAAUUGCAUUUAACACCCUAUAAUGCUAUAUCACAAUAUGCAAAUAGACGGUAAGAGAACUCAGACAUAAAAGGCAGCCCGACUGCUUCGGGAUGGCACUCCCCCACCUCGUGGUGAUGCCGCGACUCCUCGAUUGUAAUUCGCCGAUUUUUCGACGCCUCGCUAGACCGCCGGGCGAAAACGAAGCUCCGGGGGUCACCUUGGCUCCAACUUUGCACCCGCUUGACGGAUCGACGAACCGUCUUCGCCGACGCGUUCAGGGACCUAGCAAUUAGGUUUAGGACCCAUUAAUCGAGAUCAAAACCCUAGAUUUCCCGAUAUCCAAAACCGUGCCCUAGAACAGCAACAGCGAGAAAAUCUGCGGUGCGAGCUUCGAUUGCGAGCUCGAACUACCUCUCUAGCCCCAAUAGGUUCCAUUCGAACCAAUUCCAAGCUAUAAAACCCUAGCUUCCAAAAUCCACCAUUAAAGGGUUUGAGGUUUACCUCAACACCAAGCUCCAAGCUUGAAGAGGGAGAGAAGAAGA
rnacentral:lncRNA from 1 species